rnacentral:rRNA from 1 species
UACGGGGGGAGCAAGCGUUGUUCGGAUUUACUGGGCGUAAAGGGCGCGUAGGCGGUCGUGACAAGUCACUUGUGAAAUCUCCGGGCUUAACUCGGAACGGUCAAGUGAUACUGUCGGACUGGAGUACUGCAGGGGAGACUGGAAUUCCUGGUGUAGCGGUGGAAUGCGCAGAUAUCAGGAGGAACACCGGUGGCGAAGGCGGGUCUCUGGGCAGUAACUGACGCUGAGGAGCGAAAGCGUGGGGAGCGAACAGG